rnacentral:lncRNA from 1 species
AUGCGGUUUAAAUCAAGAUCCACUUGCACGUUCACUCACACAUGCUACUUCUACUCCGGAAGUACGCAUCCACAUUCAUCCACCCACUUCCAUCUCCAAAUUCACCUAAAAUUAUUCUACUCCUAUCCAGAAGAGAAUAGCCAAAAUAUUUUCCUAUCCCUGUUAUUCCCUGUGAAAUCAAUGCUCCAGUUAUUUUGGUUACUACCACUUGCUACAUUAUUCCAGGAGGGUGAGUGCUCUAAAAAAAUGAUGAAUACGAUACGAGGAAAUAAAAAGGGGCAAGUUCCCGGAACCUCAAAAAGAGAAAAAGAUACGAGGAAAUAAAAAGGGGCAAGUGCCCGGAACCUCAAAGAAAAGAAAAAGUGAGACGAGAGGUAAAAAUGGACAAGUGUCGGACAGUAGAAUUAGGGGUACAAGAUACCCACCUGAGAGAAAAGAAAAAGAAAAUAUAGAGCAUCUCAUUCUCCUCAAAAAGCUUCAAAGUGCAAGAAAGGUAUGUAUCCCCUUAAAAGAGCAAAAGUAGAAUUAGACUUUCACCAUUGUUAUCACCAUACACCAUUCAUUCGCUACACAUGCACAUCUUGAUUUGACUUAUUGACUUGUUUCUCUGGAUCCAUGGUUUGACUAUGCAAUAAAUGUCUUGUAAGUAUGAAUGCUUUAUCUCCCACCAAUGAGCUCCAGAUAUCAAAACCUUAUUAGAGU